rnacentral:lncRNA from 1 species
AGGUCCAGCUCCAGCAGCGUCCGGUGCCAGCGGAGAGUCACCGACAGCCAGGAACCGGAACCGGAACCGGAACCGGAACCGGAACCGGAACAGCCGGGGGGAACCGACACCGAGAGACGCUCCAGCCCUGGGGACACAGGGACAGGUGUGACACAGGGGUGACACAGGUGACAAUGGCUCAGGUCCAGCUCCAGCAGCGUCCGGUGCCAGCGGCGCGUCACCGAGAGCCAGGAACCGGAACCGGAACCGGAACCGGAACCGGGACCGGGGACACGACAG